rnacentral:rRNA from 1 species
UACGGAGGGUGCAAGCGUUAUCCGGAUUUACUGGGUUUAAAGGGUGUGUAGGCGGGCUUUUAAGUCAGUGGUGAAAUCUCCGGGCUCAACCUGGAAACUGCCAUUGAUACUAUUAGUCUUGAAUUUUGUUGAGGUAGGCGGAAUAAGUCAUGUAGCGGUGAAAUGCAUAGAUAUGACUUAGAACACCAAUUGCGAAGGCAGCUUGCUAAACAAUAUUGACGCUGAGGCACGAAAGCGUGGGGAUCAAACAGG